rnacentral:rRNA from 1 species
CGGACGGGUGAGUAACGCGUGGGCAACCUGCCUCGCACUGGGGGAUAACACUUAGAAAUAGGUGCUAACACCGCAUAGCGGGCGGGGCGCAUGCCCCUGACCCUGAAAACCCAGGUGGUGCGAGAUGGGCCCGCGUCUGAUUAGCUGGUUGGCAGGGUAACGGCCUACCAAGGCGACGAUCAGUAGCCGGCCUGAGAGGGUGGACGGCCACAUUGGGACUGAGACACGGCCCAGACUCCUACGGAAGGCAGCAG